rnacentral:rRNA from 1 species
CCUAGGGAGGCAGCAGUGGGGAAUACUGGACAAUGGGCGCAAGCCUGAUCCAGCCAUGCCGCGUGAGUGAUGAAGGCCUUAGGGUUGUAAAGCUCUUUCAACGGUGAAGAUAAUGACGGUAACCGUAGAAGAAGCCCCGGCUAACUUCGUGCCAGCAGCCGCGGUAAUA